rnacentral:rRNA from 1 species
GACGUAGGGCGCGAGCGUUGUCCGGAUUUAUUGGGCGUAAAGAGCUCGUAGGCGGCUUGUCGCGUCGUCCGUGAAAACUUGGGGCUCAACCCCAAGCUUGCGGUCGAUACGGGCGGGCUGGGAUUCGGUAGGGGAGACUGGAAUUCCUGGUGUAGCGGUGAAAUGCGCAGAUAUCAGGAGGAACACCGGUGGCGAAGGCGGGUCUCUGGGCCGAUAUCGACGCUGAGGAGCGAAAGCGUGGGGAGCGAACAGG